UCCUCCUUAAGUCCAUCUAGAGAGUAAGACGGGUCUUUUCCAAUGUUAGCAUUGACCACAAAGUUGAUACCUUCUUUGGUCAUAAGAUCAACCCGGCGUUGAACUAUGUCGAUUUUGUCGGUCUUCAUGUUUGGGACUCCAUACAUCAUAAGCCCACCAAUUCUAUCAGCACGCUCAUAGACCGUUACCGAGUGGCCCAUUUUGUUCAGCUGGUCGGCAGCAGCAAGUCCAGCCGGACCACUUCCGAUAAUUGCAACUUUCUUCCUGCAAACACCAGAAGCAAGACAUGUUAAUCAAUAAAAUGUAAACUCUAUCCAAACAUAAAAACUUCCAACAAUGGAAAAUAAAAUAGCUUACCCUGUCCUCGUGAGAGGAGGUCUUGGUACCAUCCACCCUUCCUCAAAGGCUUUAUCUAUAAUAGAACACUCGAUACUCUUGAUAGAAACGGGGUUCUCGAUUAUACCAAGAACACAUGAACCUUCACACGGUGCCGGGCAUACUCUCCCAGUAAACUCAGGGAAGUUAUUCGUCUCAAGUAGACGAUUCAGCGCUUCUUGCCAUCUGUUUUGGUAAACAAGUUCAUUGAACUCAGGGAUCUUGUUACCUAAGGGACACCCAGAGUUCUCCUGCAAAUUGAAAAUAAAAGAAAAAGUUAAUCAUAAUAUUUAUGAGGAUAACAAACAAAGGCAAUUUAACAUAACAUAUGAGAAUAAAUAUACCUGGUGGCAGAAAGGAGUUCCACAGUCCAUGCAACGAGCAGACUGAGUCUUGAGAAGCGGUCCGGGCUUUGAUUCCUCCAUGACUUCGUUCCAGUCAUUCAUACGAACAUUGGGAUCUCUGUACUUAACUCCCUCACGCUCAUAAGCGAUGAAGCCACGAUGCUUAACAGCAUUAUCUACCAGAGAAGGCUUCUUCGGAGCUUCAGUGGCAGCUCCGUUUCCGGACACAACCUCUUUCGAAGAGGCAGCUGCUGCCAUGUUCUUCAGCUCUGCAAAGGCGUCCUUCUCCUCAAGUUCCUUCUCUUCCAUCUCCUCAGCUUCUUCAGCAGCACGAUCAAUCGCUUGCUUGGAGACCUCCUCGUCCUUCAUGGCCGCCAAAACACGCUUGUAAUCUCUAGGGAAGACCUUGAUAAACUUCGGAAGCAGAUUCUCAAAGUCUCCGAGAACCUCUUGUGCAAGUUGGCUGUUUGUGUGUCGUUGAUGCUGCUGGAUCAUCAUCUUGAGUAUGUCGAUUUUGUCGGUCUUCAUGUUUGGGACUCCAUACAUCAUAAGCCCACCAAUUCUAUCAGCACGCUCAUAGACCGUUACCGAGUGGCCCAUUUUGUUCAGCUGGUCGGCAGCAGCAAGUCCAGCCGGACCACUUCCGAUAAUUGCAACUUUCUUCC
rnacentral:lncRNA from 1 species